rnacentral:rRNA from 1 species
UUGGGGGACUGACCCCCUCCGUGCUGGAGUACACAAUAAGUAUCCACCUGGGAGUACGGCCGCAAGGUGAAACUCAAAGGAAUUGACGGGGCCGCACAAGCAGUGGAUCAUGUGGUUUAAUUCGAAGCAACGCGAAGAACCUUACCAGGGCUUGACAUCCAACUAACGAAGCAGAGAUGCAUUAGGUGCCCUUCGGGGAAAGUUGAGACAGGUGGUGCAUGGUGUCGUCAGCUCGUGUCGUGAGAUGUUGGGUUAAGUCCCGCAACGAGCGCAACCCCUAUUACUAGUAGCCAGCAGUUCGGCUGGGCACUCUAGUGAGACUGCCGGGGAUAACCCGGAGGAAGGUGGGGAUGACGUCAAAUCAUCAUGCCCCUUACGAUUUGGGCUACACACGUGCUACAAUGGCGUAAACAAAGGGAAGCGACCCUGUGAAGGUAAGCAAAUCUCAAAAAUAACGUCUCAGUUCGGAUUGUGGUCUGCAACUCGACUACAUGAAGCUGGAAUCGCUAGUAAUCGCAGAUCAGAAUGCUGCGGUGAAUACGUUCCCGGGUCUUGUACACACCGCCCGUCACACCAUGGGAGUCGAUAAUGCCCGAAGUCAGUGACCUAACCGCAAGGAAGGAGCUGCCGAAGGCAGGAUUGAUAACUGGGGUGAAGUCGUAACAAGGUAACCUA